GAAGAAUUGAAGCGAUUCUUACAAAGAGAAAGAGCUCUGAAGUGUAAAAAUGGAAAGAUGGAGUUACUGCAGAGGAGCGGCAAUGGCGGUGUUCGUUUUAGUCUUCUCAUCGGUAAUGCUGGAGAGUGUUUCAGCCACUUCCAGAAUGACGGAGAUCGCCGCCGACGGUGAUUUGCUGAGGCGGAAUCUGCUUGCUAAUGGCCUUGGAGUUACUCCUCCGAUGGGAUGGAAUAGUUGGAAUCACUUUGCAUGCAAUAUCAAUGAGAAAAUGAUUAGAGAAACCGCGGAUGCUCUGGUUUCCACUGGCCUUUCGAAGCUUGGAUAUGAAUAUGUCAAUAUCGAUGAUUGCUGGGCUGAGAUAGCUCGUGAUGAUAAGGGUAAUCUGGUGCCGAAGAAUUCAACAUUUCCAUCUGGCAUGAAGGCUCUUGCAGAUUAUGUUCACGCUAAGGGUCUUAAGCUUGGAAUUUAUUCAGAUGCUGGGUAUUUUACUUGCAGCAAAACCAUGCCCGGUUCCCUUGGCCAUGAGGAACAAGACGCCAAAACUUUUGCUUCAUGGGGGAUUGACUAUUUGAAGUAUGAUAAUUGCAACAAUGGUAACAUUAAGCCAACUGUUAGAUAUCCGGUCAUGACUCGGGCGCUAAUGAAGGCUGGGC
rnacentral:misc_RNA from 1 species